AAGGAUCAUUAUUGAAUAAACUUGGUUGGGUUGUUGCUGGCUCCUAGGAGCAUGUGCACGCCUAAUCCAUUUUUAACCCCCUGUGCACCUUGUGUAGACCUGAGCAACUCUCGAGACAAUGUACUCGGUUUUUGAGAAUCGCUGUUGUGAAAGCUCAGCUUUUCUUGUGUUCAGGUCUAUGUCUUAUAUUAAACCCCAUAAGAAUGUAAUGAACAGGCCAUCGUGCCUUUAAACACAAAUACAACUUUCAACAACGGAUCUCUUGGCUCUC
rnacentral:misc_RNA from 1 species